GCCCCUUCUAUCCCCUCCAGUCUCUCCUGUAGGGUGGUUGUCAGCUUUAUGGAUGUCACUUGCUCUUGGAGCAGAUUGCAACCAGAGCUGGCCCCGGGAUGUCAUCUGGAGAGACAAACAAGAUCAUCUCAUCAAUUGAGAAUGACAUCAUGUUGCUACAUCUCAGCUCAAGUGAUCAAAGAGGAGAGAAAACAAGCUAAUUGGAUCUCAUCAGGGAAAUCAGAGUUCUGCCACUGGUCUCUCGCUGAACUGCAUGGAACAGAAGCUGUGGCAGAGAACAUCUGACAGACUGUCACUUCAACUGGGAGGCUGGAAGAGCAAACCAAAGAGGGACCUAUCGUUAGGCUGGCUUACUGCUGAGUCUUACGGAGUCUAAAACGUGUGAGAAACGGAACAUCCAGUGGCAGUGGACGAUGCAUCCCAAAUGGCCAAAAAGCUCUCACAGUCUCACUGCGGAAUUAGACGCUCAUCCACGUUCUCCAAACGGCAAAUUGGAAGUUGCUCUAAACAUUUUUGUUACUACUGCUGCUCUGUAUUGUUCCAUUUCUUCAAACAUCACAUUUCAAAGUUACGGGUUAUG
ensembl:lncRNA